rnacentral:lncRNA from 1 species
AUAUAUACAAUGAAGAUAUUGCAAUGUAAAUUAUGCAUACAUGUUGUUAAGCUCACUACAUAUGACAAUGUAGAUAUUGAGCGUUUGGUGCUGUUAAAAUGAGGAGAAAUAAUUUAGCAAUCGGUUGUGUAUAAGAUAUUUUUUAUUUGAUAAUUAUAAAUGUCAUUUGAUCUAUCAACAAAAAUCUAAUUCAUGUUUCGUUUUUGUUUUAUGUAUAAACAGUAUGAUUAUUCAUGUAUAUCUAUGUUUUUAAAUGUAUACCUUUAAAAUUCAUUUGUUUACCGUAAGUAUUAUUUUGUACAUCGUUUUUAUGUAAACUUUUCUUCAAAGGUACAAUAGGUG